UACGGUGGGGGUAAGCGUUGUUCGGAAUUACUGGGCGUAAAGGGCUCGUAGGCGGCCAACUAAGUCAGACGUGAAAUCCCUCAGCUUAACUGGGGAACUGCGUCUGAUACUGGAUGGCUUGGAUCCGGGAGAGGGAUGCGGAAUUCCAGGUGUAGCGGUGAAAUGCGUAGAUAUCUGGAGGAACACCGGUGGCGAAGGCGGCAUCCUGGACCGGUAUUGACGCUGAGGAGCGAAAGCCAGGGGAGCAAACGGG
rnacentral:rRNA from 1 species